AUAAGUUCUUCUAAAUCAACUUGAUUAACACCAAAGUUAAAAUUAUGAAUGAUAAUUGGUAGUAGUACGGAGAUCAUGAAUUGUGAUAUAGACCACAUCCAAAACCGCAUCGCAACAGUGGUGUAACACUACCAAAAUCUCUACAUAUACAUAUGUAUCUACGUAUUUUUGUUACUAUUUGAACCGUACUGCACUUUAUUUCUUACACCGCAAAACGCAGUCACCAUUCGGACCCUGAAUUUGUCAACAAUAUCAGACUAAAAAAUCUAGAAACUUUGCAUACAAUGCAAGCACGUAAUACAUGACUAUAAUCG
rnacentral:sRNA from 1 species